UCGACAGUCACCGAUGCAGGGAAGUGGGAGAAGAGGAAAAUCAGUCGCUCGGAGCCUUAACACCUUGCAAUGGGAAAUCGCGCCACAUGGGUCACAAACGAUUCCAUCAUUAGACCAGUGGGAUUUUACAUCGUCGGAUUUACCAAUUUAAAGUUUGCUGAUUUUUAUUUUAUCUUCCUUGCAGUCGUAUAUAUUGUAACGGUUUUGUUCAACUCUAUUCUCAUUUCCAUUAUAUAUAUAGAUUAUCGCCUGCACACUCCAAAGUACAUUGCGGUGGCUAAUCUGGCGAUCGUCGACGUGAUGCUGAGUACAAGCAUUAUGCCUAGUAUGUUAAAGCUAUUUCUUGCGAAAGAAAACUUUAUGUCCUACAGUGUAUGCUUGAUACAAAUGUUUUUCGCUUACACCUUUUUUACAUUAGAGUCAUUUUCCCUCAGUGUACUUGCCUAUGACAGGUUAAUUGCAAUAUGUUUCCCAUUGAGACAAAGCUCUAUCAACACAAUCAACGUCAUGGCUACCAUUUUAGUCGCUGUUUGGUCAUUUUGCAUAAGUCUUUCUAUGUUCCCAGUCAUAAUUCUCACCAGGCUGUCUUUCUGUAAUUCUCUUAUUGUGAAGAGUUACUUCUGUGACUAUGACCCCGUGUACUCGCUGUCUUGCAAUGAUCACAGCUUGCAGUACGCCACUUUCUCUGCUGUGAGUUUGAGUACUGUGCUUGUGCCCUUUAGUUUAAUAGUUGUGUCAUACGCCUGUAUUUUGACAGCCGUGUUUAGGAUGAAAAGCACCGAGAGCCGGUACAAAGCACUCGCAACCUGCACAGAACAUCUCAUUCUAGUGGCAGUUUACUAUGUGCCCAUCAUGGCAAUGUAUGGCAUUGUGCUUUUCUUUACAAUUUCCCAAAUCGAUCAAGAUAUCGCUACGGUGCUCGUGUCAUUGGCUACAUGCAUGCCGCCCUGUCUGAACCCCAUUGUGUAUUCGCUGGCUACCAAAGAAAUAAAGAACAGAAUACUGGCUAUGCUCGAGAAAGUCAAGGUAGGAGCGUGCUCAGGGCAGGCCUAGAGCCAAAGAUUGUAGCAAUUUUUUUUUUCAAAUGAAAAACAUCCCUUUAAUUUUAGCCCUUAGUGUUUGUCCUCAUUUGCCCAAGUUAAUAUGAAGUCCAACGUGAGGAGGUUUAAUUGUAUUUCCAUAUAAUACUUUUCUACUGAUGUGUUAAGAUUAGUUUCCAGCUCCAGGAAGAAAAUGGUAAAUUCUAAGAUGUCCGAUUGAUUAUUUAAAAACUGUAAAAGAAAAAAUCUAAUAAAAUUUUAAUCAAUUUUCAAAACUUGGUCUGUUAGCAGCACCCUCUGCUGAAACAUUAAUGUGUCUAAUGCCCUAGGACAUCUCGCUCAAAAUAAAUAAAUAAAGUGACCUCCAUAAUGCUUGGGACAAAGACACUUUUUUCUUUGAUUUGGCU